CUACGGGUUGCUGCAGUAGGGAAUCUUAGACAAUGGGGGAAACCCUGAUCUAGCCAUGCCGCGUGAGUGAUGAAGGCCUUAGGGUUGUAAAGCUCUUUCGCUGGGGAAGAUAAUGACGGUACCCAGUAAAGAAACCCCGGCUAACUCCGUGCCAGCAGCCGCGGUAAUACGGAGGGGGUUAGCGUUGCUCGGAAUUACUGGGCGUAAAGCGCGCGUAGGCGGGCUAUUAAGUCAGGGGUGAAAUCCCGGGGCUCAACCCCGGAACUGCCUUUGAUACUGGUAGUCUUGAGUUCGAGAGAGGUGAGUGGAAUUCCGAGUGUAGAGGUGAAAUUCGUAGAUAUUCGGAGGAACAUCAGUGGCGAAGGCGACUCACUGGCUCGAUACUGACGCUGAGGUGCGAAAGUGUGGGGAGCAAACAGGAUUAGAUACCCGUGUAGUC
rnacentral:rRNA from 1 species